GAUGAACGCUGGCGGCGUGCUUAACACAUGCAAGUCGAACGAUGAAGCCCAGCUUGCUGGGUGGAUUAGUGGCGAACGGGUGAGUAACACGUGAGUAACCUGCCCUUAACUCUGGGAUAAGCCUGGGAAACUGGGUCUAAUACCGGAUAGGAGCGCCUACCGCAUGGUGGGUGUUGGAAAGAUUUAUCGGUUUUGGAUGGACUCGCGGCCUAUCAGCUUGUUGGUGAGGUAAUGGCUCACCAAGGCGACGACGGGUAGCCGGCCUGAGAGGGUGACCGGCCACACUGGGACUGAGACACGGCCCAGACUCCUACGGGAGGCAGCAGUGGGGAAUAUUGCACAAUGGGCGAAAGCCUGAUGCAGCGACGCCGCGUGAGGGAUGACGGCCUUCGGGUUGUAAACCUCUUUCAGUAGGGAAGAAGCGAAAGUGACGGUACCUGCAGAAGAAGCACCGGCUAACUACGUGCCAGCAGCCGCGGUAAUACGUAGGGUGCGAGCGUUAUCCGGAAUUAUUGGGCGUAAAGAGCUCGUAGGCGGUUUGUCGCGUCUGUCGUGAAAGUCCGGGGCUUAACCCCCGGAUCUGCGGUGGGUACGGGCAGACUAGAGUGCAGUAGGGGAGACUGGAAUUCCUGGUGUAGCGGUGGAAUGCGCAGAUAUCAGGAGGAACACCGAUGGCGAAGGCAGGUCUCUGGGCUGUAACUGACGCUGAGGAGCGAAAGCAUGGGGAGCGAACAGGAUUAGAUACCCUGGUAGUCCAUGCCGUAAACGUUGGGCACUAGGUGUGGGGACCAUUCCACGGUUUCCGCGCCGCAGCUAACGCAUUAAGUGCCCCGCCUGGGGAGUACGGCCGCAAGGCUAAAACUCAAAGGAAUUGACGGGGGCCCGCACAGGCGGCGGAGCAUGCGGAUUAAUUCGAUGCAACGCGAAGAACCUUACCAAGGCUUGACAUGUUCCCGAUCGCCGUAGAGAUACGGUUUCCCCUUUGGGGCGGGUUCACAGGUGGUGCAUGGUUGUCGUCAGCUCGUGUCGUGAGAUGUUGGGUUAAGUCCCGCAACGAGCGCAACCCUCGUUCCAUGUUGCCAGCACGUCGUGGUGGGGACUCAUGGGAGACUGCCGGGGUCAACUCGGAGGAAGGUGAGGACGACGUCAAAUCAUCAUGCCCCUUAUGUCUUGGGCUUCACGCAUGCUACAAUGGCCGGUACAAUGGGUUGCGAUACUGUGAGGUGGAGCUAAUCCCAAAAAGCCGGUCUCAGUUCGGAUUGGGGUCUGCAACUCGACCCCAUGAAGUCGGAGUCGCUAGUAAUCGCAGAUCAGCAACGCUGCGGUGAAUACGUUCCCGGGCCU
rnacentral:rRNA from 1 species